GGGUGAGUAACGCGUGGGUAACCUGCCUCAUACAGGGGGAUAACAGUUAGAAAUGACUGCUAAUACCGCAUAGUAUGAGAUGGACCCGCGUCUGAUUAGCUUGUUGGCGGGGUAACGGCCCACCAAGGCGACGAUCAGUAGGGGUUCUGAGAGGAAGGUCCCCCACAUUGGAACUGAGACACGGUCCAAACUCUACGGGAGGCAGCAGUGAGGAAUAUUGGUCAAUGGACGAAAGUCUGAACCAGCCAAGUAGCGUGCAGGAAGACGGCCUCUGGGUUGUAAACUGCUGUUAGUUGGGAAUAUGUACCAUCAGAAAAAGGACCGGCUAAUUCCGUGCCAGCAGCCGCGGUAAUACGGAAGGUCCAGGCGUUAUCCGGAUUUAUUGGGUUUAAAGGGAGCGCACGCGGCGGCGUAAGUCAGUUGUGAAAUCGUGCGGCUUAACCGUCAAUUGCAGUUGAUACUGCGUCGCUUGAGUGCACACAGGGAUGUUGGAAUUCAUGGUGUAGCGGUGAAAUGCUUAGAUAUCAUGAAGAACUCCGAUCGCAAAGGCAUAUGU
rnacentral:rRNA from 1 species